rnacentral:lncRNA from 1 species
GGAUAGUCACUUCAAAUUUCUGACUGAUAGAUCCAUCUUUAAAGAAAAAAUUGAAAUCCCAAAGCAAACUGGAAGAAAAUCUAAAUUCACAGGUCUAGAAGAUAAGAAGAUCAAGCAGUUGCCUAAUUUGUGGAUCCAGACUGGACUUUGGUGGGGAUUUGGCACCUAUUUCAUACGCAGAGCUGAGAAAAAACUGAGAAGUGAUUACUGCAGUGCAUUCAAAUGCCAUGGGAAGGUGAGCAAUGGAAGGCCAGACACCUCCAGACCAAUGGACAGGCUGCUGUGAACAGGAACUGAAGAUAAAGUGUGUGUUUAUAGGUAGCAUUUUAAAACAGCUGCAAUUUCCCUGCUGGACCAACCCUCUGAUUAGACAAGUGGAAAAGCUAUGAAGUAUACUCUGUAAUAAAUGUCAGAGCAAAGAAGAGCA